GAGAGAACCAGCCCCGCCCAGCACUUUCAUUUCAGCCCCUCCAGACUCGUUGUGGACCUCUGACCUCCAGAAUUGUACGGGAAUAAGUUCGUGUUGCUCUAAACCCCUACGUUUGCGGAAAUUUGUCACAGCAGCAACGGGACAGUAGAGGCACCGCGAAGAUCAGCUGGGAACCGUACCACUGCGUAUGAAUUAUCCCGGCCAGCGUGGAAGCUUAUCAUGAGACAAGCCCGCCCAGGUAUGGCUGGUUUUCUGCAGUGCGGUGUCGUGGAAAGAGCCACCUAUAAGUUGCAUCUUUGUAACCUGAGUUUUAUCUGCGCAACUCAGAGAAGACAGCUAAAGGAACCCUUUGGUAUGCAGCGAGGAUGGAAAAGCACAUGAAUUAACACCCGGGUGUGCAAGAGCCAGGCACAGAGUCUGCUGGUGUGGAACAUACGCCUGGCGGAGAAAGCACCUUGGCCUGGGAACCAAGACACCUGGACUCGGGUCCCACCUCUGACACUGACUGAGCCCUCUCUGGGCCUCUGCCAAAUAAAAGGGCAGCACGAUCAAUUUCUAGGUCUCAGUUCCCAUUGUGACAUUAUAGGACUCUAUGCAUAUCAUGUACCCCAAAUGGCCCUCAUCCACACGAGAUGUAUGACCCUGCCUGAGGCAGUUUGCACGGAACAGAAAUCAAAACCAUAAGCCACAGAGCGGAAGCUCCAAUGGUAGGAUUUCCAGUGUUAUCAUUAUGGGAAGAAUGGGGACAAUGUUGAGGACUGAGGGCGAGGUCUGCCAGGUCACAGGUGGUGCUUGAUCUACACAAGGUCAAGGUGUUCAAUCUGGGCCCAUGGGUACCAGCAAGUCCCCAGCACCCGGCUUGGGCUCCAGGUAUAAACUUAGGGGGUCUGUGGGCUCACUGUGGGCUGACUAUUUAGUUUUAAUGCCCAAAACCAAUUUUAAAUAAAAUAAAGGAACCCCCUAAAUAUUCUAUAUGGGGCUUUCUUUUUUUUAGAGGGACAUUUCAAGACUAGUUUCACACAGGUUUAGCCGAAAGGGAAAUUAAACUCUACAUUUAAAUGGGAGAUUACGCACAAAGGAAUCCAUUACUUUCAAUAUUUCUCAGCAGGAGGGCUCAGAGUUAUUUAAAUAAGUUUAGAUAUUAAACCUAAAGUAGCCAUUAAAGCAAUGUGGAUUUGUUUGUCUGUUUUUUUUUUCCCCCAGAAAUCUUUUUUUCCAGCUGACUGAAAAAAUCCAUUGCUUAACCAAUGGAGGAUAUUUUAAUGCAUUAAAAAAAAAAUCCAGGGACUUUUUAAUAUAGCACUUCCUUUGAAUUUUUAAGUAUCAUCUUACGGUAAGUGUCAUCCUUUGGACAGAUUAACCAAAGCGCAUUCCCUUCCCUGCCCCCACCCUGGGCAGAACAGUGCUAAUAUAAACACCGACAUUAAACCAUAUUGGCUAUGGAAGAGGCUUUGAUUGUCAUUGAGAUUAUUUUAAAAGUUAUUUAGGCCCCCCUGUUACAUCUCUGCAAACCACUGAGAAAACGUUGCGCCGGGUUUCUCUUUGCGACAUUUCUUUGGGGAUUCAUAAAUAUUGAUUGUACCGUAAAAAAAUUGAUGGAAUCUUGAAACAGACUGCAGUUGAGGCAGCUGGGGAAUUUACUCAAUUUUUCUCAAUCGCUGCAGUCUAUAAAAAGAGGAGAUUUUGCAAA